CAGCCGCCGCGGUAAUACGUAGGGUGCGAGCGUUAAUCGGAUUUACUGGGCGUAAAGCGUGCGCAGGCGGCCCGUUAAGACAGGUGUGAAAUCCCUGGGCUCAACCUAGGAAUUGCGCUUGUGACUGGCGGGCUCGAGUACGGUAGAGGGGGGUGGAAUUCCUGGUGUAGCAGUGAAAUGCGUAGAGAGCAGAUGGAACACCGAUGGCGAAGGCAGACCCCUGGGCCUGUACUGACGCUCAUGCACGAAAGCGUGGGGAGCAAACAGGAUUAGAUACCCUUGUAGUCCACGCCCUAAACGAUGGGUACUAGCCGUUUGGUGCGCGAAAGCGCUGAGUGGCGAAGCUAACGCGUGAAGUACCCCGCCUGGGGAGUACGGCCGCAAGGUUGAAACUUAAAGGAAUUGGCGGG
rnacentral:rRNA from 1 species